GGCUGGGCUGAGUGUAGUGGUGUUUCCAGAUAAUGGAUCACAACCAGGAAAAGUUUCCUGUGUUCUUUCUGCACUAUCAUUUUUUCACUUGAUUAACCUAAA
rnacentral:Y_RNA from 1 species